rnacentral:misc_RNA from 1 species
AGCGUCUGCCUCAGCAAACUGUGACACUAUAUCACGUUUACAGCUCGAAGAGAGAAGCAGAGUACUGUGAAGAAGCGAAAAGGGGGGAGAAUUGGGAUUUCGGAAGAGCAGAAAAUGGGAAACUCUCAGUCGAAUUCAACGAAUCCACGUUUUGAUUUAGCCAAGAGAGCUUUCACAGAGAGGAAAUUGGAAGACUUGAAAUCGUUGUUCGAUUCACUAGCUGCACAAUCACAGAGCAAUGGAAAAUACGUUUCUUCUUCUGUUUUCAAGGCAUAUAUUGGAGUUGAAGGGCCAUUGGGUGAUAGAAUGUUCGAUUUGGUCACCCAGAAGCGUAAGGAUCAAAAGCUUACAUAUGAGGACCUUGUGAUUGCUAAAGGAACCUAUGAAAAAGGGACAAAUGCUGAUAUUGAAGAGUUUAUCUAUCAGUUGUUAGAUGUCUUUGAUGAUGGCGUUGUUGGAAGAUCAGAUCUGGAAGCAGUCUUGACUGCAGUACUAAGAAAUAUAUCUUCUCAUGAGAGCCAUCAAUCUGAACCUAGUCCGGACAGGGAAAUUCUCGACAUUUUCCUCAAUGCUGCAAAUUUGACAACGGAUGAUACAAAAUGCGCUGAAAGUUGUAUGUCUUUUGAGGAAUUUAAAAGUUGGUGUGCCCGUCUUCCAUCAGUAAGGAAGUUUCUCGGAACUCUGUUGUCUACACGUGAUUCAGGCUCUGAGGUUCCUAUGCUAGUAUACCCAGAGAACAUUGAUCCUGCUG